GUAGUCCUGGCUGUAAACGCUGCCCACUUGGUGUUGCCCUUUCGUAGGGAAGGGGCAGUGCCGGAGCGAAGGUGUUAAGUGGGCCGCUUGGGGAGUAUGGUCGCAAGGCUGAAACUUAAAGGAAUUGGCGGGAGAGCACCGCAACGGGAGGAGCGUGCGGUUUAAUUGGAUUCAACGCCGGAAAACUCACCAGGAGAGACCAUGGUAUGAGAGUCAACCUGAAGAGCUUACUCGAUUACAUGGAGAAGUGGUGCAUGGCCGUCGUCAGCUCGUACCGUAAAGCGUUCACUUAAGUGUGAUAACGAGCGAGACCCCCAUCCACAUUUGCUAAUAUAAUCGCGAGAUUAUAUGCACUAUGUGGAGACUGCCAGUGUUAAACUGGAGGAAGGAGAGGUCAACGGCAGGUCGGUAUGCCCCGAAUCUCCUGGGCUACACGCGCGCUACAAAGGACGGAACAAUGGGUCGCGACUCCGAAAGGAGAAGCUAAUCUCGAAAUCCGUUCGUAGUUCAGACUGAGGGCUGUAAUUCGCCCUCACGAAGCUGGAUUCCGUAGUAAUCGCGAAUCAACAGUUCGCGGUGAAUAUGCCCCUGCUCUUUGCACACACCGCCUGUCAAGCCAUCCGAGUUGGUUUUGGAUGAGGGUAUACUUCUUGGUAUAUUCGAAUCCAAGAUUGAUGAGGAGGGCUAAGUCAUAACAAGGUAUCCGUAGGGGAACCUGCGGCUGGAUCACCUCC
rnacentral:rRNA from 1 species